rnacentral:lncRNA from 1 species
GGAGCUUUUGAGGCUCCAUAGGGCGUCCACAUCAGCGAAAAAAAUUUCUCCCGAAAAAUGACACGUGGCAUAAAAUAUAGUUUUAUAUUUUAAUAUUAAUUAUUUUCGAAAAUUGUAAAAAAUAUGUAAACAUACAGCAUUAAAAAAUGGAAAAACUACAUUAAACAUAUGUAAGAUUACUAUUUUUCAUUUAAAAAAAAAGACGGCUUAUCUCCAUAAUGUAACAUUACCGUUUUAUAAAAAAAAACAAAAAACAUUAUAUAUAAUUUCUCUACUAAUAAAAGGGAGCUUUUGAGGCUCCAUAGGGCGUCCACAUCAGCGAAAAAAAUUUCUCCCGAAAAAUGACACGUGGCAUAAAAUAUAGUUUUAUAUUUUAAUAUUAAUUAUUUUCGAAAAUUGUAAAAAAUAUGUAAACAUACAGCAUUAAAAAAUGGAAAAACUACAUUAAACAUAUGUAAGAUUACUAUUUUUCAUUUAAAAAAAAGACGGCUUAUCUCCAUAAUGUAACAUUACCGUUUUAUAAAAAAAAACAAAAAACAUUAUAUAUAAUUUCGAAAAUAAUAAAUAUAUGUAAAACAUACAACAUAAAAAUAGAAAUACUACAUUAAACAUAAAUAUCUCUACUAAUAAAAAGGAGCUUUUGAGGCUCCAUAGGGCGUCCACAUCAGCGAAAAAAAUUUCUCCCGAAAAAUGACACGUGGCAUAAAAUAUAGUUUUAUAUUUUAAUAUUAAUUAUUUUCGAAAAUUGUAAAAAAUAUGUAAACAUACAGCAUUAAAAAAUGGAAAAACUACAUUAAACAUAUGUAAGAUUACUAUUUUUCAUUUAGAAAAAAGACGGCUUAUCUCCAUAAUGUAACAUUACCGUUUUAUAAAAAAAAACAAAAAACAUUAUAUAUAAUUUCGAAAAUAACAAAUAUAUGUAAAACAUACAACAUAAAAAUGGAAAUACUACAUUAAACAUAAAUAUGUUUGACUAUUUGUCCAAGUUCUUCUAUUAAACAUUGCCGUUUUACAUUAAAAAUAGAAAAAUACGUAAAGAUUUAAACAUCUAUCUUAAAAUAUAAAAUAUAUACAUUAACUAAAUAUAAAGUAUAAAAAAGAGAAAUACUCAAUAUAUAAAAAAUAAAUAAUAAGUAAAUAUUAUAAAUAUAUAAAUAUACGAAUUAUAUAUACAAUAAUAAGUAAAUGCACAAUUUUUUAAAAAUGGAAAGAGUAUAUUAAAUAUUAAACAUCUAUCUUAAAAUGUAAAAUAUAGAUAUUAAGUAAAUAGAAAAUAUAAAAAAAGAAAUACUCAACUUAAAAACAAUGGAAAAAGUAUAUUAAGAUUUAAACAUCUAUCUUAAAAUGUAAAAUAUAUAUAUUACGCAAAUAGAAAGUAUAAGAAAAGGAAAUACACAAUUUAAAAAAAUGGAAAAAGUACAUUAGUAUUUAAACAUCUAUCUUAAAAUGUAAAUCAAUCUUAAAAUAUAAAAUUAUUAGUAAAUAGAAAGUAUAAGAAAUAAAAAUACACAAUAUAAAGAAAAAUAAAUAAUAAGUAAAUAUAUAAUAUAAUCUCGAAAGAUGACACAUGGCAUUAAAAUAUAGUUUUACAUUUUAAUAUUAUUUAUUUUCGAAAAUUAUAAAAAAUAUGUAAACAUACAGCAUAAAAAAAUGUAAAAACUACAUUAAACAUAUGUAAGAUUACUAUUUUUCACUUAAAAAAAAGACGGUUUAUCUCCAUAAGGUAACAUUACCGUUUUAUAAAAAAAACAAAAAACAUUAUAUAUAAUUUUGAAAAUAAUAAAUAUAUGUAAAACAUACAACAUAAAAAUGGAAAUACUACAUUAAACAUAUGUAAGAUUACCAUUUUAUAUUUUUAUUUUAAGAAAAUAAUAUGUAAACAUACAACAUAAGAUUACCAUUUUUCACUAAAAAAAGACGGCUUAUCUCAAUAAUGUAACAUUUCUAUUUUGUAAAAAACAAAUUUAACAAGAAUAUGUAAACUUAAAUUUAAAAAUAACAAUAAUAUGUAAACAUACAACAUAAAAAAAUGGAAAAACUACAUUAAACAUAUGUAAGAUUACCAUUGUUCACUAAGUUAUCUUCAUAAUAUAACAUUACCAUUUUACUCCAUAGGGCGUCCACAUCAGCGAAAAAAAUUUCUCCCGAAAAUGACACAUGGCAUAAAAUAUAGUUUUAUAUUUUAAUAUUAAUUAUUUUCGAAAAUUGUAAAAAAUAUGUAAACAUACAGCAUUAAAAAAUGGAAAAACUACAUUAAACAUAUGUAAGAUUACUAUUUUUCAUUUAAAAAAAAGACGGCUUAUCUCCAUAAUGUAACAUUACCGUUUUAUAAAAAAAAACAAAAAACAUUAUAUAUAAUUUCGAAAAUAAUAAAUAUAUGUAAAACAUACAACAUAAAAAUAGAAAUACUACAUUAAACAUAAAUAUCUCUACUAAUAAAAAGGAGCUUUUUAGGCUCCAUAGGGCGUCCACAUCAGCGAAAAAAAUUUCUCCCGAAAAAUGACACGUGGCAUAAAAUAUAGUUUUAUAUUUUAAUAUUAAUUAUUUUCGAAAAUUAUAAAAAAUAUGUAAACAUACAGCAUUAAAAAAUGGAAAAACUACAUUAAACAUAUGUAAGAUUACUAUUUUUCAUUUAAAAAAAAG